GAUUAACGCUGGCGGCAUGCCUAAUACAUGCAAGUUGAACGGGAAGUAGCAAUACUUCUAGUAGCGAACGGGUGAGUAAUACAUGAGUAACCUGCCUCUUUGAUGGGGAUAACUGAUCGAAAGAUUAGCUAAUACCGAAUAAACUGAUUGAUAUGCAUAUAUUAAUGAGAAAAGUUGAGAAGACGCAAAGAGAUGGGCUCAUGGCGCAUUAGCUAGUUGGUGGGGUAAUGGCCUACCAAGGCAACGAUGCGUAGCCGACCUGAGAGGGUGAACGGCCACACUGGAACUGAGACACGGUCCAGACUCCUACGGGAGGCAGCAGUAGGGAAUUUUCGGCAAUGGGCGGAAGCCUGACCGAGCAAUGCCGCGUGAACGAUGAAGGUCUUCGGAUUGUAAAGUUCUUUUGCAAAGGAAGAAAAAGACUAGUGAAGAGCAGCAUAUUGACGGUACUUUGAGAAUAAGCCACGGCUAACUACGUGCCAG
rnacentral:rRNA from 1 species